GAAGCUGCGGCAGCGACACUGUGUGUUGUUGGGUAGGGGAGCGUUCUGUAAGCCUGCGAAGGUGGCCUGUGAGGGUUGCUGGAGGUAUCAGAAGUGCGAAUGCUGACAUAAGUAACGAUAAAGCGGGUGAAAAGCCCGCUCGCCGGAAGACCAAGGGUUCCUGUCCAACGUUAAUCGGGGCAGGGUGAGUCGACCCCUAAGGCGAGGCCGAAAGGCGUAGUCGAUGGGAAACGGGUUAAUAUUCCCGUACUUGGUGUUACUGCGAAGGGGGGACGGAGAAGGCUAUGUUGGCCGGGCGACGGUUGUCCCGGUUUAAGCGUGUAGGUGUGUGUUCCAGGUAAAUCCGGUUCACUUUAACACUGAGGCGUGACGACGAGGCACUACGGUGCUGAAGCAACAAAUGCCCUGCUUCCAGGAAAAGCCUCUAAGCAUCAGGUAACAUCAAAUCGUACCCCAAACCGACACAGGUGGUCAGGUAGAGAAUACCAAGGCGCUUGAGAGAACUCGGGUGAAGGAACUAGGCAAAAUGGUGCCGUAACUUCGGGAGAAGGCACGCUGACACGUAGGUGAAGUGAUUUACUCAUGGAGCUGAAGUCAGUCGAAGAUACCAGCUGGCUGCAACUGUUUAUUAAAAACACAGCACUGUGCAAACACGAAAGUGGACGUAUACGGUGUGACGCCUGCCCGGUGCCGGAAGGUUAAUUGAUGGGGUCAGCGCAAGCGAAGCUCCUGAUCGAAGCCCCGGUAAACGGCGGCCGUAACUAUAACGGUCCUAAGGUAGCGAAAUUCCUUGUCGGGUAAGUUCCGACCUGCACGAAUGGCGUAAUGAUGGCCAGGCUGUCUCCACCCGAGACUCAGUGAAAUUGAACUCGCUGUGAAGAUGCAGUGUACCCGCGGCAAGACGGAAAGACCCCGUGAACCUUUACUAUAGCUUGACACUGAACAUUGAGCCUUGAUGUGUAGGAUAGGUGGGAGGCUUUGAAGUGUGGACGCCAGUCUGCAUGGAGCCGACCUUGAAAUACCACCCUUUAAUGUUUGAUGUUCUAACGUGGACCCGUUACCCGGGUUGCGGACAGUGUCUGGUGGGUAGUUUGACUGGGGCGGUCUCCUCCUAAAGAGUAACGGAGGAGCACGAAGGUUGGCUAAUCCUGGUCGGACAUCAGGAGGUUAGUGCAAUGGCAUAAGCCAGCUUGACUGCGAGCGUGACGGCGCGAGCAGGUGCGAAAGCAGGUCAUAGUGAUCCGGUGGUUCUGAAUGGAAGGGCCAUCGCUCAACGGAUAAAAGGUACUCCGGGGAUAACAGGCUGAUACCGCCCAAGAGUUCAUAUCGACGGCGGUGUUUGGCACCUCGAUGUCGGCUCAUCACAUCCUGGGGCUGAAGUAGGUCCCAAGGGUAUGGCUGUUCGCCAUUUAAAGUGGUACGCGAGCUGGGUUUAGAACGUCGUGAGACAGUUCGGUCCCUAUCUGCCGUGGGCGCUGGAGAACUGAGGGGGGCUGCUCCUAGUACGAGAGGACCGGAGUGGACGCAUCACUGGUGUUCGGGUUGUCAUGCCAAUGGCACUGCCCGGUAGCUAAAUGCGGAAGAGAUAAGUGCUGAAAGCAUCUAAGCACGAAACUUGCCCCGAG
rnacentral:rRNA from 1 species